CAAUAUUUAACAAUAAUAUUCAUUGUACCUACUAUCAAGAUUUAUUGUACCUGAACCUGAGCAUAUUGCAGCUUUGGUGGAGUUUCACAUCACAUUAAUUUGUCAAUAUAUGUAGUAGAAAUACAUAUAAUAUAAACCCAAAAAUUUAGAAUAGCAUUCUUUAGUAAAUACACAUCAUAAGCAAAUAAAUUGAAAACUACAAUCAAGUUUACCUUGAGAGGAAAUAAAGUAAAAACACCUAUGAUUCUUUAUUGCCUCUUGAUCAAAGUUCAAAGAGAUAUGAGAUACUUUUCGUGGUUGAGAGAAAAGAAAACAGAGGGCGGUUUUGUUAGGCCAAAAAAAAAAACCAAAGCAUAUGAUUUAAGGUUAAUUGGUACAAUUCGACCAAAAAAAAAAAGGGUAAGUAGGCAAAGAGAAUGCAAGAGGGGUGAAGAUAUAUCAUUAAAUAACAAUAUGUAUUUUUUUAUUAGUUUAUUAUAUUAGAGUCAACCCAAAAAAAUUGGACUAAUAUUAAACAAAGGCAAGUUACAGUGUUUGGCAAAAAAAAUAUUCAACAAAGGCAAGGGGGGUUGGCUAAAAUUUUUGGGGAGUAGAAAUAGAUUAUAAAAUUUGGACCCCCUUUAGUUUUCUAUAGAUUUUGCACUGGGCUACAGCCCACUUAAGCCUGUGAACAGUACCGUCCUUGAUCAAAGUGAAGAAAAUUAAAGAAACAAAUGCUGCAAAAAAUUAGUAAGAGGACACACAAGAAAGAAAAUUCACGUUCAACCAUCAAGUGGGAUGCUAGAUUACCUAUAUAUCCUAGGUGGGUCAAAUCGACGUAAUUCAUUUGAUUGGAUGGUUUUGUACAAGUUUGGUUUUGGAGUGGAGUCCUUUUGUAUCAUCUGGCUUUUAUUUGAUGGCUUUAGAAUUAAUGGGAAUUUUUGGAUUUGAGUUUAUUAAUUCAGAAAUUACGAAUUUUAGAAUUUCAGGACUAAUCGUUUCCAAAUUGAAAUUUUGUCUUUCGAUGGAGAUUUUAAUAAGUUUUUUUUUUUAUUUUUUCACAAAAUGUUCCUGAGGUUCACAAGCCUAUCAUGCUGCAUCCUUUUUAUUAUUUUGUGUCAUUGGUGGUCUUUAAGGUUAACAUAUACGUGCUCACAAGUUAUCC
rnacentral:lncRNA from 1 species